rnacentral:rRNA from 1 species
UACGGGGGGGAGCAAGCGUUGUUCGGAUUUACUGGGCGUAAAGGGCGCGUAGGCGGUCAGCACAAGUCAGUUGUGAAAUCUCCGGGCUUAACUCGGAAAGGUCAACUGAUACUGUGCAACUAGAGUGCAGAAGGGGCAACUGGAAUUCUCGGUGUAGCGGUGAAAUGCGUAGAUAUCGAGAGGAACACCUGCGGCGAAGGCGGGUUGCUGGGCUGACACUGACGCUGAGGCGCGAAAGCCAGGGGAGCGAACGGG